UACGUAGGGGGCUAGCGUUGUUCGGAUUUACUGGGCGUAAAGCGCACGUAGGCGGUUCGAUCAGUCAGGGGUGAAAUCCCAGAGCUCAACUCUGGAACUGCCUUUGAUACUGUCAAUCUGGAGUAUGGAAGAGGUGAGUGGAAUUCCGAGUGUAGAGGUGAAAUUCGUAGAUAUUCGGAGGAACACCAGUGGCGAAGGCGGCUCACUGGUCCAUUACUGACGCUGAGGUGCGAAAGCGUGGGGAGCAAACAGG
rnacentral:rRNA from 1 species